ACAGUUCGGUCCCUAUCUGCCGUGGGCGUAGGAUGAUUGAUUGGGGCUGCUCCUAGUACGAGAGGACCGGAGUGGACGCAUCACUGGUGUUCCAGUUGUCUCGCCAGAGGCAUUGCUGGGUAGCUAAAUGCGGAAGAGAUAAGUGCUGAAAGCAUCUAAGCACGAAACUUGCCAAGAGAUGAGUCAUCCCUGACUUUAAGUCAGUAAGGGUUGUUGUAGACUACGACGUAGAUAGGUCUAGUGU
rnacentral:rRNA from 1 species